CUUCCCGUCGUAGAUGAUCGGAAUGGUGCAGAUGCUGCUGGGUAUGGUAGUGUACAGGAACCGGGAAUCAUGCAAGCACGAAUUAAGCAUCAUCAUUCCAGCGCGCAGGAAAUCAGCCCGGCCGACUUAUCACAUCUUCGAUUGCGGGACCUUCUCUUGCCUUAAUCUCGUUUUCUGUCCACUACCAUGCCACACGAGCGUUCGAACUGCUCCAUUCCGGUCACUCGCGUCCUCGGAAG